UGGGGAAUAUUGGACAAUGGGGGCAACCCUGAUCCAGCGAUGCCGCGUGAAGGAUGAAGUAUUUCGGUAUGUAAACUCUGUCGGAGGGAACGAAUGCUCCUGAAGUUAACAGCCUCAGGAGGUGACGGUACCCUCAAAGGAAGCACCGGCUAACUCUGUGCCAGCAGCCGCGGUAAUACAGAGGGUGCAAGCGUUGUUCGGAAUCAUUGGGCGUAAAGGGCGCGUAGGCGGCAUGACAAGUCACUUGUGAAAUCUCUGGGCUUAACCCAGAACGGCCAAGUGAUACUGUCGCGCUAGAGUGCAGAAGGGGCAAUCGGAAUUCUUGGUGUAGCGGUGAAAUGCGUAGAUAUCAAGAGGAACACCUGAGGUGAAGACGGGUUGCUGGGCUGACACUGACGCUGAGGCGCGAAAGCCAGGGGAGCAAACGGGAUUAGAUACCCCAGUAGUCCCUGAGCGGGCUGGCAAGGCGCAU
rnacentral:rRNA from 1 species